rnacentral:rRNA from 1 species
AGUUGANCGGGAUCAGUUGUAGCAAUACGACUGUGAGAGCGGCGCACGGGUGCGUAACACGUAUGCAACCUACCUUAAACUGGGGAAUAGCCCCUCGAAAGAGGGAUUAAUACCGCAUAACGAGGCGUGUAGGCAUCUACACUCCUCUAAAACUCCGGUGGUUUAAGAUGGGCAUGCGGCUGAUUAGCUAGUUGGUGAGGUAAUGGCUCACCAAGGCUACGAUCAGUAGGGGGUCUGAGAGGAUGUCCCCCCACACUGGUACUGAGACACGGACCAGACUCCUACGGGAGGCAGCAGUAGGGAAUAUUGGACAAUGGGGGAAACCCUGAUCCAGCCAUGCCGCGUGCAGGAUGACUGCCCUAUGGGUUGUAAACUGCUUUUGUACGGGAAGAAACCACAUUACGUGUAAUGUGUUAACGGUACCGUGAGAAUAAGGAUCGGCUAACUUCGUGCCAGCAGCCGCGGUAAUACGAAGGAUCCUAGCGUUGUCCGGAUUUACUGGGUUUAAAGGGUGCGUAGGCGGACUUUUAAGUCAGUGGUGAAAGCCUGCAGCUUAACUGUAGAAUUGCCAUUGAAACUGAAAGUCUCGAGUGUGGUUGAGGUAGCUGGAAUGUAUCAUGUAGCGGUGAAAUGCUUAGAUAUGAUACAGAACUCCAAUUGCGAGGGCAGGCUACUAAACCAUAACUGACGCUGAGGCACGAAAGCGUGGGGAUCAAACAGGAUUAGAUACCCUGGUAGUCCACGCUGUAAACGAUGUGUGCUAGACGUCGGAAAGCCUAGCUUUUCGGUGUCGCAGCUAACGCGAUAAGCACACCGCCUGGGGAGUACGGCCGCANGGUUAAAACUCAAAGGAAUUGACGGGGGCCCGCACAAGCGG